rnacentral:rRNA from 1 species
CGUUUAGGGGUAAACCUGAGAAACCCGAAAGGUCGAAGGGAGGAAUUCAUUCGCGGUUCGACGCAAGCGUCGGACGGUUGGUGACGGGGAUUGCGUAGACUCUUUCGCACUUUCCGUUCGACGAACUGGCGACGAACGCGUGCACUUUUCUCCUGGUAGGACGUCGCGAUUCGUUGGGCGUCGGUCUAAGGUCGUUUGCGGUGGAGCCCGUUUGCGCUUCUUGUAAGCGCGAGCGGACCCGUACGUCCCGACCGACUCGCUCGACGGUAUACGAAAGGUUCGAGGCCGCUCGAUUUUAAGUAGCGUCCGGCUCGUGGCAAGCGCGCCAGAUGUGUCGACGAUCGGACCUAGUGCCGAUUUCGACCUCUGGUGACUGUUGGCUUCGAAGUCCUCGGACAGACCUCGUGACCGAUCGGCGACGCUAUAGCUUUGGGUACUUUCAGGACCCGUCUUGAAACACGGACCAAGGAGUCUAGCAUGUGCGCGAGUCAUUGGGUAUCACUAAACCUAAAGGCGUAAUGAAAGUAAAACGAGUUCUUUUAGGAUUCGAGGGAAGACGAAUCGUUCGCCCUUAAAAGCGACGGUUCCGCAUUCCCGGGGCGUCUCGUUCUCAUCGCGAGAAGAGGCGCACCAAGAGCGUACACGCUGGGACCCGAAAGAUGGUGAACUAUGCCUGGU